rnacentral:tRNA from 1 species
GCAUUGGUGGUUCAGAGGUAAUAUUCUCACCUGCCACAUUUGAGUCCCAGGUCCGAUUCCUGGCCAAUGCA